AAUUCCCUUUCUAUCUUUCUAUUGGCCCAACGAUAAUCAAAUCGUAGUCCCUUCUUUUAUUUAAUGGGUAAAACUACCAUAUAUUGCCCAUAUUGGUCAGUUUGGUUGACUUCAUUACAUUUUAGAGCCUUUGCAAAAGCUUUUGUGAACACCUUAACUCACUUUCUCCAACGAUCAACAGAUGUAUGCUAAUUACAGAAAUGUUGCAGCAAAAUCGAUUGCACUUCCGUAUAGACUCAUCUAGCAGACAUAUCGGUUAGUUAUGCUCCUCGGGAUUUCGUACCAGUUAAGAUUUUUUUUUUUACAUCUGAAUAGAAAGACAUUCCACGUGUUGACAAGCAUGGAAGUAUGGACUUGGGAGAUAAACAUCAUGUGACUGCUGCCAUGGAAGUCCAGCAAAGAAGGACCACAGACAGAAUCAGAAACCUGAUAGAUGGAAAUAUAUUCAAAUCAGCAAUACAUCUAAAGUGACUAUAAUAAACAAUUGUUUAUUGUUAUAAA